rnacentral:rRNA from 1 species
CCUACGGGGGGCAGCAGUGAGGAAUAUUGGUCAAUGGGCGUAAGCCUGAACCAGCCAAGUCGCGUGAGGGAUGAAGGUUCUAUGGAUCGUAAACCUCUUUUAUAAGGGAAUAAAGUUCUGGACGUGUCCCUUUUUGCAUGUACCUUAUGAAUAAGGAUCGGCUAACUCCGUGCCAGCAGCCGCGGUAAUACGGAGGAUCCGAGCGUUAUCCGGAUUUCUUGGGUUUAAAGGGUGCGUAGGCGGGGUUUUAAGUCAGCGGUGAAAGUUUGUGGCUCAACCAUACAAUUGUCGUUGAACCUGGAAGACUUGAGUAUGUUUGAGGUAGGCGGAAUGCGUGGUGUAGCGGGGAAAUGCAUAGAUAUCACGCAGAACCCCGAUUGCGAAGGCAGCCUGCUAAGCCAUGACUGACGCUGAUGCACGAAAGCGUGGGGAUCAAACAGGAUUAGAUACCCGGGUAGUC